rnacentral:lncRNA from 1 species
GGAAUCGCGACUAUGGGAGCUCCGGGGGGAAAGAUCAACCGGCCCCGAACGCUGAAGAAGAAGCUGUUCAAACGCCGGCGGGUGUUGAAUCGGGAGCGGCGUCUGAGGCACCGGGUGGUCGGGGCUGUGAUAGACCAAGGGCUGAUCACGCGGCACCACCUCAAGAAGCGGGCGUCCAGUGCACGUGCCAACAUUACACUGUCAGGGAAGAAGCGCAGAAAACUCCUCCAGCAGAUCCGGCUUGCCCAGAAAGAGAAGACAGCCAUGGAAGUGGAAGCCCCUUCAAAGCCAGCCAGGACUAGUGAACCACAGCUCAAAAGGCAAAAGAAGACAAAAGCCCCCCAGGAUGUAGAAAUGAAGGACCUUGAAGAUGAGAGCUAAACCUCUUCCACUAGAAGAUUCUCAACUGGAGCCAGCCUUCAGACUCAGUGGUUGUUUCAGAGGACUUUGACAAAAGCAAGGCCCCUUUUCACUCUCCAGAUUUCCUCCUACCUAAUGGCCUACUGACCUCCCCUAGAGGGAUGUCUUUGGGAGGGAAGAAGGUACAGAAGAAAGAUUGGAGAAGGGCCUCUCUAGCAGUCAACUCCAUUUGUAAUAAAGCCCUAGCACUCUG